UGGGGAAUAUUGGACAAUGGGCGAAAGCCUGAUCCAGCCAUGCCGCGUGUGUGAAGAAGGUCUUCGGAUUGUAAAGCACUUUAAGUUGGGAGGAAGGGCAGUAAGCGAAUACCUUGCUGUUUUGACGUUACCGACAGAAUAAGCACCGGCUAACUCUGUGCCAGCAGCCGCGGUAAUACAGAGGGUGCAAGCGUUAAUCGGAAUUACUGGGCGUAAAGCGCGCGUCGGUGGUUCGUUAAGUUGUAUGUGAAAGCCCCGGGCUCAACGUGGGAACUGCAUCCGAAGCUGGCGAGCUAGAGUAGGGCAGAGUGUAGUGGAAUUUCCUGUGUAGCCGUGAAAUGCGUAGAUAUAGGAAGGAACACCAGAUGCGGAGGCGAGCACGUGGGCUCAUACAGACACUGAGGUGCGAAAGCAUGGGGAGCCAACAGG
rnacentral:rRNA from 1 species